rnacentral:rRNA from 1 species
CGGACGGGUGAGUAACGCGUGGGUAACCUGCCUUGUACUGGGGGACAACAGUUGGAAACGACUGCUAAUACCGCAUAAGCCCACGGCUCGGCAUCGAGCAGAGGGAAAAGGAGCAAUCCGCUUUGAGAUGGCCUCGCGUCCGAUUAGCUAGUUGGUGAGGUAACGGCCCACCAAGGCGACGAUCGGUAGCCGGACUGAGAGGUUGAACGGCCACAUUGGGACUGAGACACGGCCCAG